CACGUAGGGUGCGAGCGUUGUCCGGAAUUAUUGGGCGUAAAGAGCUCGUAGGCGGUUUGUUGCGUCGGCUGUGAAAUCCCGAGGCUCAACCUCGGGUCUGCAGUCGAUACGAGCAAACUAGAGUGUUGCAGGGGAGACUGGAAUUCCUGGUGUAGCGGUGAAAUGCGCAGAUAUCAGGAGGAACACCGGUGGCGAAGGCGGGUUUCUGGGCAACAACUGACGCUGAGGAGCGAAAGCGUGGGGAGCGAACAGG
rnacentral:rRNA from 1 species